rnacentral:rRNA from 1 species
UACGAAGGGGGCUAGCGUUGUUCGGAAUUACUGGGCGUAAAGCGUGCGCAGGCGGUUCUCCAAGUCCGUUGUGAAAGCCCCGGGCUCAACCUGGGAAUGGCAGUGGAAACUAGGGGACUGGAAUCUGGCAGAGGGGGGUGGAAUGCCGCGUGUAGCAGUGAAAUGCGUAGAGAUGCGGCGGAACACCGAUGGCGAAGGCAGCCCCCUGGGCUGAGAUUGACGCUCAGGCACGAAAGCGUGGGGAGCAAACAGG